UCAAGCCUGAGAUUAGCCUCACUUAUGGUGGCAGCCCUGGGCUUCACAGUUUUAGGGAAAAUAGGAGUUUCUGGCAGAGAGAGAGUAGACAUUCUCCAGAUCGUUCCAAAUCUCAUCUACUUCUUCUGAGAGUUUAUCUGCUGCAGACUUAUGUGACAGCGAGUCAGAGUUGGAGGAGCUAUCGACUAAGCUCAAGUAGUCACUGUCAAUGGGAACACGAUGGACUGCCAUAGCACCAGUCUGUCCUGCAGCAGAGAAUAUGUGGAGAUGGGCAGGGCGAGUGCUCUCUCUCAACAGAGAGUGAGGGAUCCAAGGUGGCAGUGCCAGACUACUUUGCCUCCUAAUCCUCCCCAUGGCUCAGAGUUCACUCUCAGUGUUUAAUAACAUCUUACUUCAAAUACAA